UCCAGACUUUGAUCAUGGCUCAGGAUGAACGCUAGCUACAGGCUUAACACAUGCAAGUCGAGGGGCAGCAUGGUCUUAGCUUGCUAAGGCCGAUGGCGACCGGCGCACGGGUGAGUAACACGUAUCCAACCUGCCGUCUACUCGUGGACAGCCUUCUGAAAGGAAGAUUAAUACAAGAUGGCAUCAUGAGUCCGCAUGUUCACAUGAUUAAAGGUAUUCCGGUAGACGAUGGGGAUGCGUUCCAUAGAUAGUAGGCGGGGUAACGGCCCACCUAGUCUUCGAUGGAUAGGGGUUCUGAGAGGAAGGUCCCCCACAUUGGAACUGAGACACGGUCCAAACUCCUACGGGAGGCAGCAGUGAGGAAUAUUGGUCAAUGGGCGAGAGCCUGAACCAGCCAAGUAGCGUGAAGGAUGACUGCCCUAUGGGUUGUAAACUUCUUUUAUAAAGGAACAAAGUCGGGUAUGGAUACCCGUUUGCAUGUACUUUAUGAAUAAGGAUCGGCUAACUCCGUGCCAGCAGCCGCGGUAAUACGGAGGAUCCGAGCGUUAUCCGGAUUUAUUGGGUUUAAAGGGAGCGUAGAUGGAUGUUUAAGUCAGUUGUGGAAGUUUGCGGCUCAACCGUAAAAUUGCAGUUGAUACUGGAUAUCUUGAGUGCAGUUGAGGCAGGCGGAAUUCGUGGUGUAGCGGUGAAAUGCUUAGAUAUCACGAAGAACUCCGAUUGCGAAGGCAGCCUGCUAAGCUGCAACUGACAUUGAGGCUCGAAAGUGUGGGUAUCAAACAGGAUUAGAUACCCUGGUAGUCCACACGGUAAACGAUGAAUACUCGCUGUUUGCGAUAUACGGCAAGCGGCCAAGCGAAAGCGUUAAGUAUUCCACCUGGGGAAUACGCCGGCAACGGUGCAACUCAAAUGAAUUGACGGA
rnacentral:rRNA from 1 species